GACGAACGCUGGCGGCGUGCUUAACACAUGCAAGUCGAACGGAAAGGCCCUGCUUUUGUGUGUUGCUCGAGUGGCGAACGGGUGAGUAACACGUGAGUAACCUGCCCUUGACUUUCGGAUAACUUCAGGAAACUGCGGCUCAUACCGCAUAGAAGCUCCUGCUGCAUGGUGGUGGUUGGAAAAUUUCGGCGGUUGGGGAUGGACUCGAGGCUUAUCCGCUUGUUGGUGGAGUAGUGGCGUACGAAGGCAUUGACGGCUAGCCGGCCUGAGAGGGGUACCGGCCACAUUGGGACUGAGAUACGGCGCAGACGCCUACGGGAGGCAGCAGGGGGGAAUAUUACACAAUGGGCGGAAGUCUGAUGCAGCAACGCCGCGUGCGGGAUGACGGCCUUCGGGUUGUAAACCGCUUUCGCCUGUGACGAAGCGUGAGUGACGGUAAUGGGUAAAGAAGCACCGGCUAACUACGUG
rnacentral:rRNA from 1 species